rnacentral:rRNA from 1 species
AUUGAACGCUGGCGGCAGGCCUAACACAUGCAAGUCGAGCGGAUGAAGGGAGCUUGCUCCUGGAUUCAGCGGCGGACGGGUGAGUAAUUCCUAGGAAUCUGCCUGGUAGUGGGGGAUAACGUCCGGAAACGGGCGCUAAUACCGCAUACGUCCUGAGGGAGAAAGUGGGGGUUCUUCGGACCUCACGCUAUCAGAUGAGCCUAGGUCGGAUUAGCUAGUUGGUGGGGUAAAGGCCUACCAAGGCGACGAUCCGUAACUGGUCUGAGAGGAUGAUCAGUCACACUGGAACUGAGACACGGUCCAGACUCCUACGGGAGGCAGCAGUGGGGAAUAUUGGACAAUGGGCGAAAGCCUGAUCCAGCCAUGCCGCGUGUGUGAAGAAGGUCUUCGGAUUGUAAAGCACUUUAAGUUGGGAGGAAGGGCAGUAAGUUAAUACCUUGCUGUUUUGACGGUACCAACAGAAUAAGCACCGGCUAACUUCGUG